rnacentral:rRNA from 1 species
GACGAACGCUGGCGGCGUGCUUAACACAUGCAAGUCGAACGGAAAGGCCCUGCUUUUGUGGGGUGCUCGAGUGGCGAACGGGUGAGUAACACGUGAGUAACCUGCCCUUGACUUUGGGAUAACUUCAGGAAACUGGGGCUAAUACCGGAUAGGAGCUCCUGCUGCAUGGUGGGGGUUGGAAAGUUUCGGCGGGUGGGGAUGGACUCGCGGCUUAUCAGCUUGUUGGGGGGGUAGUGGCUUACCAAGGCUUUGACGGGUAGCCGGCCUGAGAGGGUGACCGGCCACAUUGGGACUGAGAUACGGCCCAGACUCCUACGGGAGGCAGCAGUGGGGAAUAUUGCACAAUGGGCGGAAGCCUGAUGCAGCAACGCCGCGUGCGGGAUGACGGCCUUCUGGUUGUAAACCGCUUUCGCCUGUGACGAAGCGUGAGUGACGGUAAUGGGUAAAGAAGCACCGGCUAACUACGUG